UACAGAGGUCUCAAGCGUUGUCCGGAAUUACUGGGCGUAAAGAGCUCGUAGGUGGUUUGUCGCGUUGUCCGUGAAAACUCACAACUCAAUUGUGGGCGUGCAGCCGAUACGGGCAGGCUAGAGUUCGGUAGGGGGAGACUGGAAUUCCUGGUGUAGCGGUGAAAAUGCGCAGAUAUCAGGAGGAACACCGGUGGCGAAAGGCGGGGUCUCUGGGGCCGAUACUGACGCUGAGACGCGAAAGCGUGGGGAGC
rnacentral:rRNA from 1 species